GCUUCGCUCGCCAUCCCGAAACUUCCAUAGAAAUCUCGAUUUCUUCCUCAGUGAUCUAUUCCAUUGGGAAACCUAGUAUACAACGACAUCAACCUAAUCCUCUCCCUUCUUUCUUUUUGUUUGCGUUGCAGAACCCUGGUGGCGCAAGAACCAAACAAUCCUUUGCUCGAUUGAUGCAGUGAGUAGGAGAGAAACGAAAAAUUUUGGUUGGGUCAUCUCAAUCGAUCGUGAAGGCCUCUUUAAUCAAUUUCGUCGGCCAGCGAGAGACAGAGAAAAACGAGUGAUAGCGGAGAGAGAUGGGAGCAAUUCUAAUGAUUUUAUUGGCGAUCUCAUAGGGCAAGAGAACAAGUGAGUAGGCCGAGCGUGAUUUUCGUUUCUGUCUUUGUUGCUGUGCAAAUGGAGCAGGAAAUCAAAGCUGAAUUAUCCAUUUCUCUUCCUCAAUCAUCUUUAUCCACUUUAGAUUUCCAUAGUGAUAAACUCCGUGUCAGUUGGGGUAUGUGUCUAAAUUACAGUGAAGAUCAACGGCCACCGUGUUUUUAACAAAGUGACUGCUAUGAAGUUACAAAUCAUGAGGGCUUGCUGGAUUGGAAGAGAGCAUUGAAGAGGAUUAACUUAAAAUGUAUGCUUACUGGGAGAUUUGGUUUGGGAGAAGAAUGUUAAAUGUCGGGCACCUGCAAGGUCUUGCUUCAUCGAGAAGCAAAUGUUUGGGUCUAAUAGAACUAAGGCAUGAUUGAUCUUCACCACUUCUUCCUCUACCAUCUAUCAAGUUAAUGCAGUUGAGUAAAUGCUACUAAAAGAGAGCUAACACAGAGGAAUGCCAAUCCAAGAUUAUUGUGAGCAACAUGACCAGCCAUAUCCUUACUUGAUCAAGUUUCUCAUUUUUGUUAACUUAAUUUCAAAGUUCCAUUGCAACAUCAACACUAAUGCUUAAAUUUUUCUAUUUAUGUAGAUAUUAUAGAGUAGAAGUUGUGAAAUGAUGUUGAGCAUUAGAAUGCAACUGUCAUCAAGAUUGUAGGGACAGGAUUUUGCAACAUAUGAAAGUUUGUAUCUCAAGUUUGGUUCCAUAUCGUAAAUGCAAUAAAGAAUGGUAUACAAUAUAUUGAAGUUGUUUAUUUCACGACUUCUUUUUCUUUUCACAAACUCGCAGUAAAGUGCGGGCAAGCUAUCUAGUUUAAAAAUAAUUAACACAUAGUAAAAAAGGCAGUAACCAAGCUUUCAUAAUUACUAUUUAAUUUACUGAAACACUAAAAGCAAAUGGUUAUUAUAAAUUAUCAAGUAAUAUUGAGAAAACUAACCUUACUUUACCAGAAAUGGUAAAAAAAUCCUCUUUUUGUUUUUUUUUUCAAGUCUGGUCGGUUUCUGCUUCAACACGGGUCCGAAUCUGGAUCUGGAUCUGUUGCAAAUAGGGUCGGAAUCCGCUACAAAACGUCGGGAUCUCCAAAUCAUAGAUGACGUCAAGGCUGCAUCGUCGGAGAUCGAGAUGGCAUAUGCAGUCACGCCGCUCUGUGGUGGAGGAGCACCACGGGAGGAGAUUGUCGUGGAAGGAGAAAUCGUCGGGUGCAGAUCGGGUCGAGUUGUCGUCGGGCUUGAAAGGAAGCGAUGUAGGAAGAGAGUGGGCCGAUCUCACCGAGCUGUGUCGUCGCAAGGACUGAGCGCGGCGAUCUGGGUCUCUUGGGACUUGCCUCGCCGAUCGGGGUCAACCGGAAUGAUGCUGCUGGUGGUGCAGCCGAGCAAGCCAGGUAGCUGCUGCUAGCGGCGCCGGAAAAAAAAACUAGGGUUUUAUGUUCUUUUUUUUUGUGCUAAAAACUCAGAAUAGAGAUAAAUGGUUGAGGACGUGUAAAAGUAAAACUGAAGUAGUCUACUCGUAUUAUUA